UACGAAGGGGGCUAGCGUUGUUCGGAUUAACUGGGCGUAAAGCGCGCGUAGGCGGGUUUUUAAGUCAGGGGUGAAAUCCCAAGGCUCAACCCUUGGAAGCUGCCUUUGAUACUGGAAAUCUUGAGUCCGGGAGAGGUGAGUGGAACUGCGAGUGUAGAGGUGAAAUUCGUAGAUAUUCGCAAGAACACCAGUGGCGAAGGCGGCUCACUGGCCCGGUACUGACGCUGAGGUGCGAAAGCGUGGGGAGCAA
rnacentral:rRNA from 1 species